rnacentral:rRNA from 1 species
GAUUAAGUUAUUAAGGGCGCACGGUGGAUGCCUUGGCACUAGAAGCCGAUGAAGGACGUUACUAACGACGAUAUGCUUUGGGGAGCUGUAAGUAAGCUUUGAUCCAGAGAUUUCCGAAUGGGGAAACCCAGCAUGAGUUAUGUCAUGUUAUCGAUAUGUGAAUACAUAGCAUAUCAGAAGGCACACCCGGAGAACUGAAACAUCUUAGUACCCGGAGGAAGAGAAAGAAAAUUCGAUUCCCUUAGUAGCGGCGAGCGAAACGGGAAGAGCCCAAACCAACAAGCUUGCUUGUUGGGGUUGUAGGACACUCUAUACGGAGUUACAAAGGACGACAUUAGACGAAUCAUCUGGAAAGAUGAAUCAAAGAAGGUAAUAAUCCUGUAGUCGAAAAUGUUGUCUCUCUUGAGUGGAUCCUGAGUACGACGGAGCACGUGAAAUUCCGUCGGAAUCUGGGAGGACCAUCUCCUAAGGCUAAAUACUCUCUAGUGACCGAUAGUGAACCAGUACCGUGAGGGAAAGGUGAAAAGCACCCUGGAAGGGGAGUGAAAUAGAACCUGAAACCGUGUGCUUACAAGUAGUCAGAGCCCGUUAAUGGGUGAUGGCGUGCCUUUUGUAGAAUGAACCGGCGAGUUACGAUUUGAUGCAAGGUUAAGCAGUAAAUGUGGAGCCGUAGCGAAAGCGAGUCUGAAUAGGGCGUUUAGUAUUUGGUCGUAGACCCGAAACCAGGUGAUCUACCCUUGGUCAGGUUGAAGUUCAGGUAACACUGAAUGGAGGACCGAACCGACUUACGUUGAAAAGUGAGCGGAUGAACUGAGGGUAGCGGAGAAAUUCCAAUCGAACCUGGAGAUAGCUGGUUCUCUCCGAAAUAGCUUUAGGGCUAGCCUCAAGUGAUGAUUAUUGGAGGUAGAGCACUGUUUGGACGAGGGGCCCCUCUCGGGUUACCGAAUUCAGACAAACUCCGAAUGCCAAUUAAUUUAACUUGGGAGUCAGAACAUGGGUGAUAAGGUCCGUGUUCGAAAGGGAAACAGCCCAGACCACCAGCUAAGGUCCCAAAAUAUAUGUUAAGUGGAAAAGGAUGUGGCGUUGCCCAGACAACUAGGAUGUUGGCUUAGAAGCAGCCAUCAUUUAAAGAGUGCGUAAUAGCUCACUAGUCGAGUGACACUGCGCCGAAAAUGUACCGGGGCUAAACAUAUUACCGAAGCUGUGGAUUGUCCUUUGGACAAUGGUAGGAGAGCGUUCUAAGGGCGUUGAAGCAUGAUCGUAAGGACAUGUGGAGCGCUUAGAAGUGAGAAUGCCGGUGUGAGUAGCGAAAGACGGGUGAGAAUCCCGUCCACCGAUUGACUAAGGUUUCCAGAGGAAGGCUCGUCCGCUCUGGGUUAGUCGGGUCCUAAGCUGAGGCCGACAGGCGUAGGCGAUGGAUAACAGGUUGAUAUUCCUGUACCACCUAUAAUCGUUUUAAUCGAUGGGGGGACGCAGUAGGAUAGGCGAAGCGUGCGAUUGGAUUGCACGUCUAAGCAGUAAGGCUGAGUAUUAGGCAAAUCCGGUACUCGUUAAGGCUGAGCUGUGAUGGGGAGAAGACAUUGUGUCUUCGAGUCGUUGAUUUCACACUGCCGAGAAAAGCCUCUAGAUAGAAAAUAGGUGCCCGUACCGCAAACCGACACAGGUAGUCAAGAUGAGAAUUCUAAGGUGAGCGAGCGAACUCUCGUUAAGGAACUCGGCAAAAUGACCCCGUAACUUCGGGAGAAGGGGUGCUCUUUAGGGUUAACGCCCAGAAGAGCCGCAGUGAAUAGGCCCAAGCGACUGUUUAUCAAAAACACAGGUCUCUGCUAAACCGUAAGGUGAUGUAUAGGGGCUGACGCCUGCCCGGUGCUGGAAGGUUAAGAGGAGUGGUUAGCUUCUGCGAAGCUACGAAUCGAAGCCCCAGUAAACGGCGGCCGUAACUAUAACGGUCCUAAGGUAGCGAAAUUCCUUGUCGGGUAAGUUCCGACCCGCACGAAAGGCGUAACGAUUUGGGCACUGUCUCAACGAGAGACUCGGUGAAAUCAUAGUACCUGUGAAGAUGCAGGUUACCCGCGACAGGACGGAAAGACCCCGUGGAGCUUUACUGUAGCCUGAUAUUGAAAUUCGGCACAGCUUGUACAGGAUAGGUAGGAGCCUUUGAAACGUGAGCGCUAGCUUACGUGGAGGCGCUGGUGGGAUACUACCCUAGCUGUGUUGGCUUUCUAACCCGCACCACUUAUCGUGGUGGGAGACAGUGUCAGGCGGGCAGUUUGACUGGGGCGGUCGCCUCCUAAAAGGUAACGGAGGCGCUCAAAGGUUCCCUCAGAAUGGUUGGAAAUCAUUCAUAGAGUGUAAAGGCAUAAGGGAGCUUGACUGCGAGACCUACAAGUCGAGCAGGGUCGAAAGACGGACUUAGUGAUCCGGUGGUUCCGCAUGGAAGGGCCAUCGCUCAACGGAUAAAAGCUACCCCGGGGAUAACAGGCUUAUCUCCCCCAAGAGUUCACAUCGACGGGGAGGUUUGGCACCUCGAUGUCGGCUCAUCGCAUCCUGGGGCUGUAGUCGGUCCCAAGGGUUGGGCUGUUCGCCCAUUAAAGCGGUACGCGAGCUGGGUUCAGAACGUCGUGAGACAGUUCGGUCCCUAUCCGUCGUGGGCGUAGGAAAUUUGAGAGGAGCUGUCCUUAGUACGAGAGGACCGGGAUGGACAUACCUCUGGUGUACCAGUUGUCGUGCCAACGGCAUAGCUGGGUAGCUAUGUGUGGACGGGAUAAGUGCUGAAAGCAUCUAAGCAUGAAGCCCCCCUCAAGAUGAGAUUUCCCAACUUCGGUUAUAAGAUCCCUCAAAGAUGAUGAGGUUAAUAGGUUCGAGGUGGAAGCAUGGUGACAUGUGGAGCUGACGAAUACUAAUCGAUCGAAGACUUAAUCAA